rnacentral:lncRNA from 1 species
CGCAGGUCCUCUGCAUGCUUUGCUUAUAUAUUUAUAUAAUCUCUCUCAAAAUCAUUAUAGCAUUAAAUGGUUCUCGUAUUCAAUUAUUUUGAAUUUCAUAACUUCUAAAGAAUUUGUUUAUUCCAUUUUAUUUACUUGCUAGUGGGCUCGGCCAAUGCAUAAGGUCAUUGAUAUGAUAGAUAGUUAAAAUAAUGGUAAUGACAGCACAUUUAAAAAAUACCAAACGUAGAACUUUUCAGUGGAAAAAAGUCUAAAAAGUGCAUUAGCUUACAUUGUCUGAAAAAAGUGUUGCGUUACUGUUUUAAUUGUGUCUUGUUUUUGCACUUCUUAAUUUAUUUAUUGUUGCAUUUUACAAUUCUGAAGGCUUGGGGUGAAUGUGCUUUAAAUUUUAUUUCCCUGCUUUUAAAUACCUGUAAUGUUCAGUUGCAAACAUAUCACUCCAAUAAGUUUUAAAAAUAAGACGAUACAUGGUUUAGAUAAUUAAUAUGUAAUCUCAGUUUUAUACCAUUUACGUCUAGAGAAUUUGAAUUCUUCUGAUAUUAAGUUUAUAAACUACUGUUACUACUGGUUUGCUAUGCACAAAACUAUGCAUAAAACUAUACAACAUUUAAUUUAGACAGAUAUAUGUAUAUAUAUAUAGUUGACCUUUAUAGUCAGUCAAGGUCGGAAGACACUCCUGUAUAUUAUCAUAUUGAAAUAAAAUAACUCGAGCCUUGAUAUCACGCGAUAUCCAAUUCUGUUGCACUACAAUCGCAUUAUAAUCAUAUGAAAAUGAUCUAAAUUAUCUAAAUCAAAGGUUAUGUUUGGUGUUUUUUUUUUUAUUUAAUGCAUUUUACAUUUUUAGCUAUAAAAAUGUUUUAAUUUUACUUUGCAUGUUUUAUGUACAUUAAAUAGUGCUACGUCACAAGUUGUUUACGCGUACAUUAUAGAGGUUCAUUAUAGAGGCAUAUAAAUAAGAAGAUGUGAGGUAUGAUUGCCAAUGAGACAACUCUCCACAAAAGACCAAAUGACACAAAAAGUAACAGCUAUAGGUCAACAAUGACCAAAGCCCAUACUGCAAAGUAAGCUAUAAAAAAAUCUGAAUCGGGAUAUGAAAAAGUUUUACAAAUAUACAAGUAAAAAUAUUUUGCUAUCAAAAUAUUUUCUUACAUGACUAUCCGUAUCAAUCAAACUUAGCUUUUUGAUAAGACUGUAAAGUAAAUACAUUACAAUAUAUACUAUUAUCAUUUUAGAUUAUUACAGUGUAUGUUUUACAUUCAUAUUCCCCGAUAAACAUGUUCCAAUUAAUGAACGUAUAUGAGUGUGUUUGUCAAUGAGACAGCAACCUUGAGACAAAACGAAAAAAAAAAAACACAAAAAAACAUAAACAUAAACAUAAACAUAAACAUAAACAAAACAAAUAAAAAAAACCAGCACACACAGAUAAGGCAGCAACCAUUUGAAUUUCUGGGGGGGGGGGGGGGCUAUGGGUUUUUUCUGGACAAAUUAUUUUUUUCGCCUGUGGCGAAAAACAAUCUAUUUUUUCGCGACAAGUCGAAAACAAUUUUUUUCUUUCAAUUUUAGCAUUACAUAUACCCCCCCCCCGGAAUCAAAUGGGCUGCCUAAGUCACAGAUAUUGUUUUAUUUAAAUAAUAAAAAAUAUUGGUUUAUUUCAUUUUUUUUGGUAACCAGAAAUGUUAAUAACAUAUAUAUUUGUAAUGUUAUCAUCCAAAUAUGACCUAAUAGAUGAUUGUAAGAAGGGGCUAUGAAUAAUUAGAUGAGGGGUAACAGACAGUGAAAUGAAAUCAGGUUUGAACCAUUAAUUCUCAACUUUUAUUUUUCUUACAGCAAAAGCAACCAGUCCUGAACUAUGUGGAAGUCGAAUUCACCAAACCACCUUCCAAAAAACAAUCAAUCAACAGAAAAGACAGUAAAACUGAAUAUGCUGACGUCACUGUUAAAAAUAAGACUGUUAUUGUUAAAUAAACUUGUAAUUAUAUUAUGUAACUUAAAAUGUGUUUAAAGAACAAAUAAUGGGCAAUGAUUUAGAAAAUGUGAAAUGAAAAACAAAAUAUGUGCAGGCAUAUACAAUGCCAGUUAGUUCGUAUUGAACUGGUUUCAAGGUGAUAUCAAAACGAUAAGGAUAAAUGUCAAUUUUCUCCCCCCCUAAAAAGGAACCAGUAUUUUAUAUGACGACUCCUUACAAUAUUGGACAACACUUAAAAAAGUUUUGUCAGCCCAUAAUUGUGCAAAUUGAAAGAUUUUUUUUUUGUAAAUAUGAUAUAUUGUUACAUAACACAAAAUGCACCACCAUUUUGUAUUCUAGUCUUCACAUGUAAAUAUGUUUAUUGUUUUCGCUGAAUUGACCACCUGAUGACUAUAACAAGACUUUCAUUUUGUUCAUCUUUUUUUUUAUUGAACACCUAUUGCCCCACUCUUAAUUUUGCAGUUUGUCUAUAAUUUGUAUUGUUUGAAUGUUAAAUCGAGUUUUCUUCAUACGUAUCCCCCCCCCCUUGAUUUUGAUUUCAAUUAGAGGCCACUUUCAUAAAACAACCUGAAAAAUAGCAAAAGUCUAAAUAUUUGGCUGAAUUGGAACUCUGUAGACUCCCAUACAAUAAACAAUUUCCUAAAUUUAUUAAAACCCACUGUAUAUGCAGUCUAAAGCAGUCGGCAUUCCUUGGUCCUACAGGUCAAUACAUGAGACCAAAAUCGUCAAUAAAAUUGAGAAUGGAAAUGGGGAAUGUGCCAAAGAGACAACAACCCGACCUUAGAAAAAAACAACAGCAGAAGGUCACCAACAGGUCUUCAAUGUAGCGAGAAAUUCCGGCACCCGGAGGCGUCCUUCAACUGGCCCCUAAACAAAUAUAUACUAUAUCCACUUUUUAGAAUUAUUUGGCACAUUGUUGAGAAACAUUGCUGAAAGUGGUAAAUUGUGUUAAGAUUUGGUUAAAUCUUCAAUUACUGAAUUUAAAACUACUCUUAGUAACCAAAACUUGUUUGUAUUUUUUUUGCUUGGUUUUAACAGCAAAUAUGUUCCAAGAAAUGGAACAGCUUCAUUAACAUUUCAAUUGCAAUGUAACUAAUACAAAUCUUAAAAGAUUUGAAUUUAGACAACUCAGAUUUUAUUUUGAGUAUAGUUUUAAAAUAUAUAUAUGAUUUGUUAAUUUGUACUUUAAUAUAUGCUAUAAAUUAUUUUGUAAUAAAAUGUUUUUGUAAACUAAUUAUGGUGUUAGGCUCUUAAACUUCUUGAUACCCCUGUCACAUGCAAUGACAGAUACAUAAAAAUGUGGUGUGUAAUGAAAAAGUGGAGACCAAGAGAAUAGCAACUGUUGCAUUGCUAGUGGUUGGCGGGACUGCUUACUUUACAACAGUGUUCACUGCAGUGUUUUAGUCGUAUCAUAGUUUUAAAAAACUCUGCAAGUACAAGUACAAUUUUACAGGAAGAAAACGAAAUAAAAACUACGCAAGAAAAGGUGAUAUUUGGCUAUUUCGGCUCUAAUAAAAAAAACAAGAGGCUCUCAAGAGCCUGAAUCGCUCACCUGAAUUUUUUUGGUUUAAUCUCUCAUCAA